rnacentral:rRNA from 1 species
GGGGAAUCUUGCGCAAUGGGCGAAAGCCUGACGCAGCGACGCCGCGUGGGUGAUGAAGGCCUUCGGGUUGUAAAGCCCUGUGGGGAGGGACGAAUAAGGACGACCCAAUACGUCGUCAGAUGACGGUACCUCCUUAGCAAGCACCGGCUAACUCUGUGCCAGCAGCCGCGGUAAGACAGAGGGUGCAAACGUUGUUCGGAAUUACUGGGCGUAAAGCGCGUGUAGGCGGUCUGGUAAGUCGGGUGUGAAAGCCCGGGGCUCAACCCCGGAAGUGCAUUCGAUACUACCAAACUAGAGUACUGGAGAGGAUGGUGGAACUCUCGGUGUAGAGGUGAAAUUCGUAGAUAUCGAGAAGAACACCGGUGGCGAAGGCGGCCAUCUGGACAGAUACUGACGCUGAGACGCGAAAGCGUGGGGAGCAAAC